AUUGAAUUGAAUUUUUUAUUUUAGUACUAUAAUGUAUGUAUUUACGCGAAUUCGAGAUGGAAAACACCUAUGCUGUUUCAGACUUCAGGAGUGAUGUAGUGGAAUCACUGCUGAGGAGUACCCACUAUCCUGGCAGAGGAGCCUCCUCGUAGAAAUCGGGCUCGUCAUCUUGCUCGAUGUCCUUUUGUGCUCCGUCCAACUGGAAAAUGUGAGGAAAGUCGAAGAAAUUUCUGUUAAAGUACUGAAAAAUCUUUACCGCUCGCAACUGCAACGGCGUAAACACAUAAACCAGAGACAUCCUCAAUGGAACCAUCAUCACCAAGAAGAAUGGCAGUGCGAGAGAGAAUCGAGA